ACAUGCAAGUCGAGCGCGGGAAGCAAGCUGAUCUCCUUCGGGAGUGACGCUUGUGGAACGAGCGGCGGACGGGUGAGUAACACGUGGGUAACCUGCCUGUAAGAUCGGAAUAACUCCGGGAAACCGGAGCUAAUGCCGGGUAACAUGUUCUUCCGCAUGGAGGAACAUUAAAAGAUGGCUUCUUGCUAUCACUUACAGAUGGACCCGCGGCGCAUUAGCUAGUUGGUGAGGUAACGGCUCACCAAGGCGACGAUGCGUAGCCGACCUGAGAGGGUGAUCGGCCACACUGGGACUGAGACACGGCCCAGACUCCUACGGGAGGCAGCAGUAGGGAAUCUUCCGCAAUGGACGAAAGUCUGACGGAGCAACGCCGCGUGAACGAUGAAGGUCUUCGGAUCGUAAAGUUCUGUUGUUAGGGAAGAACAAGUACCGUUCAAACAGGGCGGUACCUUGACGGUACCUAACGAGGAAGCCCCGGCUAACUACGUGCCAGCAGCCGCGGUAAUACGUAGGGGGCAAGCGUUGUCCGGAAUUAUUGGGCGUAAAGCGCGCGCAGGCGG
rnacentral:rRNA from 1 species